UCCAGUUACUGCAUCUCUUCGCCCCUUCUCCCCCUCGCCGCGCUCUCGCGUUCGAUCGAUCGUCAGGUGGAGGAGAUUAGUGAGAAGAAGGGGAGAAAUAGAUCGUCUGUCGUGGGAUUUCGAGGUCCCACGUCGCUGUAUCCGAUGGUUUCGGUCGCACGAAUUGAUUGAUUCCGAUCUCUGGAUCUCUCGCCUCGGCGCCGCCAAACAGUCACUACUCAAUCCAGCACCGGAAAAACAUCCAACCGGGUUAUUCUCCGAUCAUACCUUCGUUUGUCCGCUUCUUUUCUUUUUUUCUUUUGUUGGUCUUUGUUAUGGAAAUCGUGGGCAAUUGUGCGUUUGGUUGGGAAUCGCUCGUGUUUGAUGGGAAUCGAGUGUAGCCGUGCCGUUUGUUGACUUGAAGAUUGGAUUUUUCCAGAACAGUGGAGCACGGAUUAGUUCGAACAGCUUUUGAGAACAUUUGGAUCUGUGGUAUCAUUUGGCAUUAUAUGUGAUGGAACUCUUAUUUCCCUAAUUUCUUAAGUUGAAGUUACUAGAACAGAUUGAAUGCUACAUGUUCAUCAUUCAUUUUGAACAGUUAUGAGCCUACUUAUGUAAAUCUGACUUCCUUGGUAGGGCAUUAUAUAAAAUUUGGGUCCUUUCAGGGUCAAAAUUUGCAUCAAAUAUGGAUGUUUUGUCAUCUUCACUCGUCCAUGAGGAACCCUAUCCUAGACAAAAUCUGUCCCAUAGUGCAUUAAGCCAAAAUGGAGGGUCCAUAGUGUAGCUCUGGUACCAUUUUAACAGCCUGAGUUGUUAGUAUAACUUGUAUGGAAUGGGCCUACUAACAUGGUCCAAAAGUAUUAGUUCUCUGUGACUAAAAUAAUUCACAGCUUUACGGAGGUCUAUUCUUUCUUCUUGUGCCUAUACUGCUCCUCAAGGAUUUUGGAUUACAUGGUACUUAAUGUACUUUAGAGGACACCAUUUUCUUGCUUGAUAUUUCUUGGAUUUUCUUUGGACAAAACAUCGACUGUUGGCUUGAUGCCCUUUCAUCAGGCUGGUAUUGCAUAUUUCAUGACAAAGAAUUAAUCUCCGUCUCAAACUUUAAAGUGCCAAAAAAUGGAUGUGCCGUUAGAUGAUUAUUGUUUAUAAUUGAUCAAAACAGACUUGCCUGAUCUAAUUUGAUCAAAACAGACUAGCUUUGAGAAACAAGAAGGAUUACCACAAGAAAGGUGCAUGUUGACGUAUUAUCAUGUCUACAUGGUAGCUUUUAAGAGAAAAGGUAUAAGACAUUUGAAGGGAAAUUCAUAAUAGGAAAAUGACAGCUGGAGGAAUAAUUUGGUGAUGCUCUGGAAUGAAGCAAGUUGAGAUUAUAGAAGAAGUUGUAUGGAUUUCUAACAGUGAGCAGUCAGAUGUUGUCUUUUUGUGCUGACCAACAAUGGAGUUGAAGAUGUAUUGCCCUGUUGAUUCAAGUGAACCGUUGACUUGUUGAUUAUGCAAUAUACUCACCAUUUUGCUGUGUUGUGCAUGCAGAUUUCUAUGAGAGCAUAAAAGGGAGAUUGAGAAAGAAGUCUUGUUUUUAUUACCACUUACUCAAUGGUUGCAAAUGCACUUGAAAUUGCCUGUGCCAAAACCUGCCAUUAAGGAUCCAUGGAGUGAUGCUGUGGGUCUGGUCCUCCCGGAAUCGUGCGUUUCGAUGCAUAUGCUGCUGUUGCCACCAUCUGCCCCCGGAUUGGCCCGAUUGCGAAUGCAAACUCCCCAUUGGUUGCCAUCCAUCGGCUGAUCACUCGAGGUUCGGAAGUGUGCAUGGAGGAGACAACCAAUGUGAUGCAAAGACAAAGUCCCAGGAUCAGCCUCACCAUGUAUCCUCCUUGUCACAACUCCUUUCACUACCAAGUAUCAAGAGUUGCUAAGGCCUCUGGCUUUAUAGAACACUCGAAGGAGUUCAGAUUUUAUAUACAGCGGCAAAGUGGAUGCUUGCUACUCUACAGUGCUUGUCUUCUUGCCUACCACUAUCAUUGGUUGGCAAUGAAGAAGGAUGCUGCAGCUCUUCUUCAAGGGGCAUCUAUCUUGGAGCACAUAGGGGUUCAUAGGAGUUCAUAGACAGGCUAGAGGAGUAAUCUGUCUCCGGCUCAGUCCAAAAUCAUGUUGCCACGGUGACUGGUUCUACUCGGCACAACAGAACAGGAUGAUUUGGCCCUACCAGUUUACUGCUAACUAGAAACAAAUGGAGUAGAUAAUGCAAGAAGUUUUCAUAUGUUCUCGAGGUCAGUGACCGAACAACUUGAACAAGAAAACAAAAUCUGCAGCUUCAACUACAUUUGCUCUUAGUGGCAGUGGUGUCCAUGGCGAAUGGUCAACCAUGAUGGUGGUGCCUAGUCGUAAAGAGUACCUCAACACAGCAUGAUAAGGCUUUUACAGUGAAUUUGGUGACACCAUAUUGUAUGUUUAUUAUAUGUGGUGGAAGAUGAUCCCAGAAUAAGAUCUUGGAAAGGUGACAACUGUAGCAAGUUGUGGAUUCUGGUGCUGUUAAAGAUCUAAAGAGAGUAUGCAUAUCUCCAUAUCAAUCAGGCCAAAGAAAAGUGCUGAAUGGAUACAUCAGCUUCUGCACCCAGUGCUGAAGAGGCCAUGAAGGAAAGAAAAGUGCUGAAUGAAUUCAUCGGCUUCUGCACCCAGUGUUGAAAGAGGCCAUGAAAGACCAAAUGAAGCCUUUUGCAAGAAGUCAGCGUACAAUGUGUCUUUUUCAAUGGAACAGCUUGGAACUCCAUGAUGUACAGGUCUUCUACAAAGUUGUAUUGUCAAGCUUAAGAAGUGAAAGCUACCGAGGAGAAAUAAUCUUUCAGAUUUAAGAAAAAUAAUUUCUUGCAAAGUUUUAUGUCAAUCAGAUAUCUAGUCCUUCGGGCAUUGGAAAAUUUGAUGUACUUGUGUACGUAGAACACACUUCCUUGCCAAAAAAGAAGGGUUUGACAAUGAAAAUUGGCCAUCAGGUAAAAGGAUUUUUGUCAUUAUUUUGACAUUUAGAGACAA